ensembl:lncRNA
GAAAAAAUACAGAGCAGAACGUGUGAUAUUUUAGACAAGGAGAUAUGACUCCAGUAAGACCUGAGCUACAGCAGCUCACAUGUGAGUUAACUGCAGCUCUCAGAAGUGCGUGUGAGGAACGUGAGCACAGCCCAGCUGGGUUGGACCAAAUCUCAGCCCGGCUCAGCAUCCUGUCCAGCAGCCAGCAGCAGAGAAUGCCCAGAGGAAGGCUGGUGUGCAGCUGUCAGACUUCCUAUCAGCUGGACUUUGAAACCUCUACGAGCUCUGCUGUCAACACGACUGAUCAGCUUUUAUUGUGUUCAGCUCUGCAAAUUCACAGCCAGAGCCAUCUAUUGCACUCCCAUUUUUCAAUACCGCUCCUAUUUUUUCCACUUUUAUAUAUACGUGCAAAGUGGUAAAAUGCAAGUUUAGAAGGCCUGCUAUGAAGAUCAAUCAUAC